CGAGGCGUUUUUUUUUUGACGCGUGACAUUUUUUCGCGUCGGUGUGCACACUCUCAUUGGUGCCCUUUGUUUAGUCACGAGGCGUUAAACGUCGGGGAAAAUCGCGCACGAAAUUUGUCCCGGUGUGAACGGGCCUUAAUGCGUGUGAGCAGCUGGCCACCAAGGCCUGCUGCUUUGACAGGGUGAUUCAGCGGCUCAAUGGGGAGACUGAGCUUGAAUACCAGUUGACAGUCAAUAAAACUCUGUUCAGCUCCUGAGUCAAUGAGAGCCCGACAUUCAUGAGUGUGAGAUUGAUGACUGAACUUGACAGGAAUAUAGAGGAAAUUACUUUCCUGGUUAGCUGUAGGGGAAGCCUCCCGUGGCCUGUCUUCUAACAGAGGGCUCUUAAGUUUAAAAAGUAAAAAAACCCUUUAAGGGCAACGUCCGACCAACCAGCCUCUACUGCUAGGAUACGAAAGUCAAUAAGGUGUUCACUUACGGAUCGGCUGCACUGUUUUAAGCCCAGAAGGCGGCGAGUAGCCUCCUCUGCCUUGUGGGGUUGGUCGAAGACCAGGCGAAACUCCCCGAUGAAGCGUUCAAAAGGCACUUGGAAAAUGGGGUUAGCUGACAGAUAAGCCUGGGCCCAUUGGAGGGCUUUACCUCGUAAGGAGUUGACCAUCAGUGUAAUCUUACAGUGGUCUGCGUGGUAAUACCGCGGAGCCUGCUGAAAAAUUAACUGACACCACAGGUGUUUACAUCACCUUGGAAGGGCUCUGGUUGCAAAUGAAAAUUUUCCUGAUUCCAUAAUGUGGAGGCUUGGUGGGAGCUCCCGGCUGCGGAGGCUGAUGCAUUAGAGCUGGUGUUAGCCGACUGUUGGCUAGUUAGUCCAACUAGAGCUUGAGAGAUGCUAUCCAGGCUGUGAAACAGAUCUUGCUGCGCAGAUGCCAUCUGGUGGAGCGUUUCAGCUUGACGGCUGAGGGCUGCGCCUUGAUGCGUGACGGCGAGGCGGAGUCCCUCCGGGUCAGCUGGGUCUGGGUGAUGGCCAGUUUGUUCUGUCAUGGUCGUCAUAGACGAGGCAGACACAGUUGCUGAAACCCGGAAGUAACUCUCGACCAUGAAUAGUUUGCAAGAGGUUUAUUUUCUCCAGGAGAAUUUGCAGAGUUUCUUGGAGAGCGGAGCUGGAAUAAUCUUCGGGUGAAGAUCUGAAGUUCUAGGAGUGCGGUGGAUCGUGGAUCCUGAGGAGCGUGGCGUGGACGCCGAGGACGGCGGAGCGACGUGAGGCGAGGCGUGGACGUCGAGGACGGCGGAGCGACGUGAGGCGAGGCGUGGACGCCGAGGACGGCGGAGCGGCUUGAGGUGAGGCGUGGACGCCUGAACGACGUGAGGCGAGGCGUGGACCCCGAGGACUGCGGAGCGGCUUGAGGCGAGGUGUGGACGUCGAGAACGGCGGGACCAGCUUGACAUGGGGCGUGGUGCCGAGGACAGCGGGACCAGCUUGGAAUGUGGAGAGAAGCUCUGGACGGGGGAACCAGCGUGACCAGUGGUGGAUGAACCUGAAGGUGAGCACAAGGCGAGGUAAGUAAAGUAACUUAACUUGAUUAGCAGAUACUAAAAGGCCAGACAUAAGCACUGGAGUGAGUAUAACAAACUGGUGCUGGAUACUGGUGUGUAGAACCCUUAAGAAGGCAGACAGGAGAUGAGGAGAUGCAGGUCAGCUGGUUCAAAUCAGCAGAGCAGGAGCCCUGGGAGGGGGAGGUGGCUGACACAGGCACCGUGACAAGUGAUCUGUGAUGAUUGUAAAAACAGACAGUCCCACAUAAUGCUUAAACUCACAAACUGCACACACUACACCCCACAAUUCCCUGUCAAAAGUGGACCACUGUUUUUUACCGUGUAUUAAAGCUUGACUGGCAUACGCCACCACAGGUCUCAGACCUUCCACCACCUGGGCUAAUAUAGCCCCAACUAAAUGGAUAGACCAUUCAAUUUUUAUUUGAGGGACAAAUAAAAAUUAGGUAAGUUCACUACUGGUUCAGAGUUAAGUACCUUCUUCAGAUAGGUGAAAGGUGCUUCACAAUUGGCCGUCCACUGAAAGGGGACAUUCUUUUUUUAUUUUAUUUUUUGACAGGGAAUAUCAACAGUUUUUUCAACAUUUACUGUCAUGGUGCCUCUGGCAGUCUCUCCUCCCCCAUCUGCUCAGUCUUUCAGAUUGGACCCAGCUGUCAGCACUCACGUCAUCAGCCUGCCUGCCUACUUAAGAGGUUUCUUCAGCAGCAUUCAUUGCCAGUUUGUUGCUCCUCUAUGGAGAGUUUCCCCUGUGUGCUGAUCUGGGUCCUACCUACUCGCAAGGCGGUUGAAAAUUCUACGCCGUCUCUCACGACUCCAAGCCACAUCAAGUCUCUGAGCUUCGCCACUACUCCAAGCCACGCCACGCCUCUGAGCCACGCAACUCCUUUCUACCGCUCCACACGAGCUGUUGCACCUCAGGGAGAAAACAACAUCCAGACUUACCUGCCGAUCUUCACUCGACCUUGGACAACUCGAUCUCCUGUUAUCCUUCUGGGUUCCAGUAAUUGGGUCUUCUCAGCUCUGCUGCUCAUGACAAUUUACACCACUGUUCUAUGUUUCCAAGUUACACAUUGUUUGACAUAUGUAUAUUUUUUGUCAGUAAAUCAUAUUACGUGUAAAUGAUUUUUUUACUCUCACUUUUCCCCUCUUUUUUUAUAUGAACAAAAGAAACAAUAGUUGUCACACUCCUCCCUAAAAAAAAUAGAUAAAUCAAUAAAAUAAACCCACAUUGUUAUCUUGUAGAGAAGUAUUUUAUUGAAAUUAAAGUAGGACUGGUCUAAGAGGUCCAAUAUAUUUGACCUAUUUUUGCCCACAAUCUCAAACCUUUUAUCUGUUUGCAUGUUUAUUGCAAAAGUCAAUUUUUCCAUAACAAAUGUCAUUGUUUUAUACUAAUCAUCUACCGUUGGAGCAUCUGGUUGUAACCACUUUCUUGUCAAGGCCUUCUUCCUUCCCACCAGCAAUAUUCUCAUUAAAUAUUGGUCUGCUGCA